UCCGGCUUAUCACCGGCAGUUUCUUCAGAGUGCCCAGCUUGACCUGAUGGCAACAGAAGACGAGGGUUGCGCUCGUUGCGGGACUUAACCCAACAUCUCACGACACGAGCUGACGACAGCCAUGCAGCACCUGUGCUCCCUCCAGCCGAACUGAAGGACUCUCUUUCAAGUGUCCGCGAGGGGCAUGUCAAAUCCUGGUAAGGUUCUUCGCGUUGCCUCGAAUUAAACCACAUGUUCCACCGCUUGUGCGGGUCCCCGUCAAUUCCUUUGAGUUUUAAUCUUGCGACCGUACUCCCCAGGCGGGAUGCUUAACGCGUUAGCUGCGCCACUGAGGGGGAACCCCCCAACGGCUAGCAUCCAUCGUUUACGGCGUGGACUAC
rnacentral:misc_RNA from 1 species